GAUGAACGCUGGCGGCGUGCCUAAUACAUGCAAGUCGAGCGAACCGACGAGGAGCUUGCUCCUCUGACGUUAGCGGCGGACGGGUGAGUAACACGUGGAUAACCUACCUAUAAGAAUGGGAUAACUUCGGGAAACCGGAGCUAAUACCGGAUAAUAUAUUGAACCGUAUGGUUCCCUAGUGAAAGUCGGUUUUGCUGUCACUUAUAGAUGGAUCCGCGCCGCAUUAGCUAGUUGGUAAGGUAAAGGCUUACCCAGGCAACGAUGCGUAGCCGACCUGAGAGGGUGAUCGGCCACACUGGAACUGAGACACGGUCCAGACUCCGACGGGAGGCAGCAGUAGGGAAUCUUCCGGGAGGGGCGAGAGCCGGACGGAGCAACGCCGCGUGAGGGAUGAAGGUCUUCGGAUCGGAAAACUCUGUUAGUAGGGAAGAACAAAUGUGUAAGUAACUAUGCACGUCUUGACGGUACCUAAUCAGAAAGCCACGGCUAACUACGUG
rnacentral:rRNA from 1 species